CCUUUGUUCUCACCCGUGCCCUAAACGCCCGAUCCCCCCUCCUUCUCCCCUCUCGUGACCCUUUCUUCCCUCUCCCUCACACGGCGACACACCCCGAUCAUCUUCCCCUCCUCUUCAUCCUCGCCAAACCCAUCCCGAGCCUUCACACGUCGGCAGCCCUUUCCCAUCCUCCUCUCUUCUGCCUGACACCGCUCGAUUCCUCUAUCCCGUGCCCUAGCCAACUCGACGCCGAUGCUUCUCUCCUCCUCUGCCGACCUAUGUUCCCCGUCCCCUUUUUGGAUCACUGAUCGAGGUGAGGAGGAGCUCGUCGUCCCUAACGCUGCUACCGUCUCUCGACCCCGAGCAGCGCCACCGCCCCUCUGCCCUGUGCGACUCCGCCCUGUCGAUGCCGUGCCCUAGAUCUUCGGCAUGAGGAAGUGUUCGGGGAUUCGAGGAAGCCACAGGUACUAGUAGCUACAUCUUUUUCCAGCAACAAACUCACCGAGUUGUGGAUCAAUUAGGGUUGUGAGAUUGAGGUAAGGUGUAGGGCGGCACGUUGAUCCAUGAUUUCCUUCUUGAUCCGAUUGGUUUCAGUAGGACUUUGAUUCGAGACGGCAUCUCGACAUGGGGUCUAUUUCGGAUACUGUUAGCUAGAGCCAAUCAUUUGAUGAUUGUAUUUUGGACUUGUUGUAUCAUAUUCUAUAUAAAUAAAGGCAUUUGGUUUUUGGUUAUUA